AUCAUGGCUCAGGAUGAACGCUGGCGGCGUGCCUAACACAUGCAAGUCGAACGGUGAUAUAUAGAUGAUUUCGGUCUGAAAUAUAUCAUAGUGGCGGACGGGUGAGUAACGCGUGGAUAACCUGCCCCGUACUGGGGGAUAGCAGCUGGAAACGGCUGGUAAUACCGCAUAAGCGCACGAGGGGGCCUCCCCCUGUGUGAAAAGAUUCAUCGGUGCGGGAUGGGUCCGCGUCUGAUUAGCCAGUUGGCGGGGUAACGGCCCACCAAAGCGACGAUCAGUAGCCGGCCUGAGAGGGUGAACGGCCACAUUGGGACUGAGACACGGCCCAGACUCCUACGGGAGGCAGCAGUGGGGAAUAUUGCACAAUGGGCGAAAGCCUGAUGCAGCGACGCCGCCGUGAGUGAAGAAGUAUUUCGGUAUGUAAAGCUCUAUCAGCAGGGAAGAAAGGCCCUUUAAGGGAGAUGACGGUACCUGACUAAGAAGCCCCGGCUAACUACGUGCCAGCCGCUGC
rnacentral:rRNA from 1 species